rnacentral:lncRNA from 1 species
AGAUCAUGCAGGACCCUGAAGAUAACAGAAAGGGCUCUUCAUUCUGUUAUUUUCAGUAAGAUGGAAGAGAAUUUGGGGGUUAAAGGUGAGGACUGGCAUGGCCUAAAGUGUGUUUUAAUAGGAUCACUGUGACUUCUGUGCUAAAAGCAGACUGCAAGGGACAGAAGCUGAAGCAGGAGGUGAGUUAGAAGUUUCCUGCAAUAUCCAGGAGGGAAAAUAGAGAAGAGUAAGAAAAAGUGAUGGAGGAAGGAAGAGGAAAAGAAGCAAGGAUCCAAAAUGCAAAUGUGGGACAUUUUAGAAGAGCAGAACGUUGCAUUUCAGCCUUCCUGUCUGAUAUAACCCAUCUGGUGACUGCAUUCAAAAGAGCCCUACCAAGAAUAUUUUCAUGGAGUUAUUUUUCCACUGUGUAUUUCACACUUCAUCUUUGCAGGAGAAUGGAUGGAUUUACUUGGCACGUAGCAGGGGACAGUCUGUGGAAAGAAGUGAGAAGGAUAAUCCAAUAGCAAAAGUGAGGGGUGAUGAAGAGUGAAAGGUACCAACGUCCCCUUCCGCAUAUUCCUCUCCACUCUCUCAGUAUUGGAAUCUAAGUCUGAAGUUUUAGACAAGGCUCAGGGACGGCUUAAACUGUAGAUGCAGUUCCCUUCUCUAGUCCCAAAGGCUCCCAGUCAGCCCUAGGCCUUGUGUAGGGAGCUUCCAAAUGCCUACUCAAGGUUUAAUUAAUUUUCUGCAAAAAAUGAUUGGUUGACAUGACAGCAAUAAACAUCAAAUUCCAUUAAUUAAUACUGAGACAUCAGUGUCCACGCUGCUUCUCAAUUACACAUUCAGAGGCAGCCACGCUUAUGCUGGCAUCAAUUUGGUCGUGAAGCCCAGUAAGGGCUGUUAAAAUGGAAAGAGGACCAAGGGGAGGGAGGGGUAGGGGGGUGGCAUCUGUUCUUAUGCAGAGAUAAUCAGCUUGGAAGAAUUCACACUCCAAAGCCCACUCCCCAGAGAAGGGUUUAAGAGACCUAGAUGAAAGGAUUUAAAUUUGGUUGGGUGAGGCAUUUUCAUUUUGCUGAUGGCCUGGAAGGGAACUAUCAGCUUGAUGAAAACAAAGCUUCCCUCGGGUUCUAAGACAUAUUCUUCAAACUGGCUCCCCUCCCAUUGUUCUUUCUUUCUCUCUUUCUUUUUUUUUUUUUUUUUAUUAGAUGAACUCAUUUAUUUGACAUAUUAAAUUAGACAAAGAAAUGUAUAUGUAACCAGAUAAAAACAAUCACAUUCUCAUACUACUUGAACACACAGCAGUGGUCAAAAAUAAUGGAUUGUAAAAUGGACCCCAGGAUUUAAUGCAAAAACCACCCCAUACGAGGAGCUACAGUCAUCUCCAAUUUCAUGUUAAUUCCGAAGAGAGUCAAAGGGGAACAAAAAGCAAUCUUUGCUUCUUCCACUCAAGAAAAAACCCUAAAGGGACCACAGCUCCCAUCAGGCACAUGCUUUAGGGCCUGGAGACAAAGUGAAAUGUUCUCAUGCACACAUGAAGGGUUUGGUCAUGGAGAUAAAGCAAUGUGAUUAAAUCUUGAUAGAUUUUUGUUUUAAGAGUGAAAAGAAAAAAAAAAAAAACUGGCCUUGUUUACCUGGUUACAAAGAGUGCUGUUGGUAAUCCCUGGUAAAUUAGCAUCUUGAUGAGCAUAUUUUCCCUCCCAGGAUGAAGGCACCAAGGAAGAAUCUAUUUGAGGCCGUCUCCGGCCCAUUCCCACAUGGUGGCUCCAUCCCUACCCCUUCAUAAGCUCUGCCCCUGGAAGCAGUUGUUUCAUUAUUCCAGAAAUUUUAUGAUAAUUGUUUGUGACUUCAAUUUAGAGAUUAUAAAAAUAAAACCCCAGCCCCUAUUCCAGAAAUUUUAUGAUAAUUGUUUGUGACUUCAAUUUAGAGAUUAUAAAAAUAAAACCCUAGCCCCACCCAGCCUCAGAGGACAAUAGGCAAAGUUGAUCAUUGUUACAUUUCUUCCAUACCUUUAUAGGGAAGUAUUAUUCCCUUAUUAAUAAUUUAAUGAUCUUUUCCACUUUAAGGAUGGAGAGACAAAGACCCAAAAAGUGAAGCAGUUUGCCCAAAGUCACUCUCCAUAUGGGUUACAGGUCCCUAAUAGAUACUGAGUGUUCAGAACAAGGGAGCAACGGAAGGGGGUGGGCUGAAACAAGAACAUGCUUACUGCAUGCUCCAGCUGGGCCUGGAGGCUCCAGGUGCAGAGGCUGAUGGAGUUAAGAUAGGGAGGACUCUUUAUUAUGAUUUAUUUCUGUCACCAUGUUUCAAAAGGUUGGAGAGAAGGUGACUGGCCUAGACUAAAAAGUUGGAGCUGCACAGAUAGAAAUUAAAUGGUAGAGGUUAGGAUGUAAUGAUUUUGGAUUCAGAUAUCCUCUGGUUAUAAAAAAAUAAUGAAGAGAAAAGAAAAGGCCAAUCUGACACAAAGGAUUGGACCUAAUGCUGAGAAAGGAGUCAAAAUAUUUCUUUCUAUUCCCAGGCCCCAUCACUAACUUGCAGAACAAUCUUGAUCACCUCGCUUAAUCUCUCUGAUCCACAAUCUCCCAUUUGUUUGAGGAUACUUGGUUAAACCUGCUCUGUUAUUGGGGUUGAGAUGGGAUAAGAAUCAAAUGGCAUUUGUUGAGCAGAAAACUCCAUUCAUUUAAAAAGACCUAUACAUGGGGUGGAAGUUGGUUAUCUACCACUUAGAGAAUAAUGGCUAGGGCUAAUGAGCUUUUAAUAUGUCCCAGGCACUAGGCUAGAUAUUUGGCAAACUAGUCCAUUCAAUCUUCACAAAUAUCCUGUGAAGUAAGUACUAGCAUUGCUCUAGGUUGCAAGAUGAGGAAACUGAGGCUCAGAGAUGUCAAGAUACUUGCCUGAGAGUUGCACAACAAGUAGGUGGCUGAGCUGAGAUUGAAAACAAAAUUUGUCUAAUUCUGGAGCUUGAGCACUCACACUCUGGGCCAUUCCACACGGCAAAAGCACUGUAGUGUAAUUCAGAAAAAGUCAUCACUCGCCUCCAUUGAACACUAGGUGAAAAACAUCAAAUGGGAGCAUACACUUGCAAAAAGAGAACAAUUUCUGGCCCUAAACAACCUCCUAUUUUCCCCAAUCAGUACAUUUUCAAUCCCACGUCUCAGAUGAGAGCCUACAGGGAAAGAAAGCAAGUAGAGAGGUUUGGAGCAGACAUAGCCCUGAAACAUCCUGAAGGCUCUAUGGAUCAGCACAUGGCUCCUUCUGCUUGAGUUCAUUCCAAACAAAUCCAUUAAAAGCACCAUCUUAAUGAAUAUUUUAUACAGUUACGACAUAGUGAGUCCCAUUUAGGAGGGGCUCGUACUAAAGGCUGAGACAAUGAACUACUCAAAUAGCCAACUAAUCAGCAAGGCCAAUAGAAAUCUGGUCGAGGGCACAAUAGUUUCACAGAAAGAAAAAAAAUGAAAGCCAUAUACCCUCUUCUUGCUGGUUUAAGAUUAAAAAAAAAAAAAAAAAACUCUACCUACCAUGUUCAAAUACUGCCAGCCAUUAGGAAAAGUCAGCUGUUUGAGUAAUUCAUUUGUUUUCCUUGGCCCCUUCACAGCUUCUGAAGAAAGUCAAUGUACAAUUUGCUUGUUUCUGUUAGAUUAGGUUCUAUCUUUGAGCUCUUAGUAAACAUGCACAUACUCACACUCAAACACACACACAUGCCUUAACCUACUUCCCCUAGAAACAAACUGGAGGAAGGAGAGAAUCCUCAGGAACAAAUUCAGUGAUACCCCAGGUGCUGUUUCCCCAAGUCUUGCCCCUGACACAGGAGAACCUGGUGUGAUUCAAGGACUUUGGAGGAGAAAAAGGCUGAUCCUACAAUCCGGAGAGCAAAUCGGUGGCCUGGGUGUCAAUGCACCCUGUGGAUGGAUUCUGUUUGCUCUGCCAGCCUUGAUUUGCCUACUGAUUUUGUUGUUGUUGUUGUUUUAUUUGAGACACGGUUUGACUCUUGUUGCCCAGGCUGGAGUGCAAUGGCACAAUCUUGGCUCACUGCAACCUCUGCCUCCCAGGUUCCAGUGAUUCUCCUGCCUCAGCCUUCCAAGUAGCUGGGAUUACAGAUGCCUGCCCCUACGCCUGGCUAAUUUUUUGUAUUUUUAGUAGAGACAGGGUUUCUCCAUGUUGGCCAGACUGGUCUCAAACUCCUGACCUCAGGUAAUCCACCCGUCUCGGCCUCCCAAAGUGCUGGGAUUACAGGCGUGAGCCAUUAUGCCUGGGUUUGCCUACAGUUUUUAAGAAAUUUUAAUUCAUUUUUAACAUUUAAAAAUGUAGAGCUUUCACAAACUUUUCUAGGUUUCUGAGUUCUCUUGAAAGAUGAAGAGAGCUGACUGACAUCACAGAGUCUAAUUUCUGUACAGCCACAGUCACCUGGAGCCAAGUUGUAGCUGGGAAAAGAACUGGGAUUCCCACUUCCCAGCCUCCACGGUGUUUCCCCAAACAGAAACACAGGAUCCAUUGGCAUUUGUCACUACCCUUAUGUGGCUGUUUUCCUUAGAGUUAAAAGGAGAUCAAGGUAUUUUUUUAUAUCAACAUCUCUAUCUAAUGUGGGAAAGUGAAUGGCAGAUUAGGAUAGGCAUGUAUUUAAAGAAAAAGGAGAGGAAACCAUAAGCCUAAUUCUGUGUGGGAAUAAAGACUAUGCAUUUGUGUUUGGUUUAAAGUAAGGUUCUCACCUGGUCCCUGUGGGCAUUUGAGAUUGACACCCUGGUCUAAAGUUACUGACGAUGUCUGGAAAUUGGUCUUUAGGCUCUGUUUUCAUUCCCAUAGUUCCAGGUGGCUUCCUUAGUACUUGGCCCAUUGCCAGGCAUGUAGGAGAUGUGCCGAAAAAUAAAAUGCAUAAUGAACUAAAAUUACAUUGCACCCUUUUCCCCUCUUCAUUUGAACAGAUUUCUGGGCACCACCUACCCCAUGGUACCAUCCUCCUUUGUUGCUGAUUUAAGAAUCCUUUUAGAGCCUUUUUUGCAGUCUAUACAGCUUUACUUCAGGACCAAUCAGACUGGAAAGAGCCUGAUAAUGGGAUCACAUAGAUACUUUAGUGACUGGUUUGAUAAAGUAUUCACUUAGAGACCAGCCAAACUUAGAUUUAAAUUCCAACUUUGCCACUCAUUGUCUUAACCUGGGUUUCCCAAGAGCAGGGCCUGAGAUAAAGAUGUGUGUGGAGGCUUAUUAAGGAAUGUGAUCCCUGGAAUAAGGGGCGGGAAAGUGAAGAGGGAAGGAGGAAAAAGCAAUGCAAGGAAGCCUGAACUGCUGCAGGCAAUUGGUUACCUCAUACAGGAGCUUCCGAGGAGCCUUCUGGAAUGUGUGUUGCAUUCAUCGGCCAGCAACAAUGGCCUUUACCAGCUCCUGCCCACAGCCCCGGGGUAUAUCAAUAUCCUCAUGCAACCAAAGGAAGCCAGAGAAAGUGGCAAGGCCAAGAAGAUGUGAGGUGCUGUGCAAAAGAUGUCCUAUACAAUGACCUUGGUUGAAUUACUUCAUGUCUCAAAACCUCAGUUUCUCCAUCUGUAAAAGGGUAAAACAUUAGUGUUUCCCUUUUAGAGAUGAAGGGAGGAGGUAAUGAAAUAAUUCAUGUAAAGCCUAAUAAAAUGCAUAGCACAUAGUACAUGUUAAUAAAUGGCGAUUUCUAAUAUUCUAAGAACUGUGCAUCCUGGAGGACUUUAUCUGAGAGCUUAUAGCAAAAAUCAAUGAAAGUGAACAAUAGUAAUUACAGUCUCAGCAUUCGCCUAACGAGAUGGCAAACUGGCUGCUACUAAGCCAAUUCUGUCUCAUAAACGUGUUCUUUUGCACCCUCCCCAUGCUAUAUAUGUGUAUACGACAUAUAAUAUAUGUAUAACAUAUAUUUUUAACAGAAAUUGAUUUUUUGCCAACACUUAAAUUUCAUAAAAUUUCAAUAAAAUAAGAUUUCUAGCUUAACCUUGACAAAUAGAAAGAUUUGGCCCCGCCGGGCUAGUAUUCCCACAGCCAGCUACAGUUGAGUAGUGGUGACACUUUCAGCUGGGGCACAUCUUCUCCAAUUAUCCACCAUCCCUCUGUGUCCACUUCACCCAUUCACAACCUGUCUGCCCCCAUCGACAUUUGCAUUUGAAGCCCCUAGUCUGAUCUUUAACCUAGAAAAGCAGGGUCCCUGGAAACUCAGCCAGGACCCAGGGACAGAAAAUGCCUGGAAACAACAAGGUUUUGUUUUCCAGUAAGAAAGCAGAAGAGCCACACGAGGGCCAGGGCCGUGGGACUCAAUGUCCCUGUGAUGGAGAGCUAAGUGGAUCCUGCUGAGGUGAGAGUGUGUGGUUCCAGCGAGGCUGGCUAUUACCAACCUGAGGCUGAGGUCACCCCAGCUGCUCCUGGCGCCUGCAACUCUGUUUAUUUCAUUCUGGUUCAUACCAGAGAUUUAUUUUUAUGAACAGUGAACAUUUUUUGUAACAUUCCCUCAUUUAACCUUCAUUAUCAAAGUCUCUGCCCAAAGCCCAUAUAAGCACCAUUAUUGCCCAUAUAACAUUUUCCAACACAAACCAUUUAAGGCAUUUUUUUCCAUUUUUAUUUAUUUCUCUUCUGUUACAUUUCAUUUGAAAUGUGCAUGGGGGAGAAUGUGUCUUGUUUUUAUGUUGUCUCAUACAGACCAUAAGCCCUAAUGGUGGGGGCUGCCUAUUUUGGAGGUUAAUAAGCAAUGGGGACAUUCGUCAUAUGGAACAAACAACCAGGAUAUGCUGGCCUCUUAAAAAAGGACUAGAAAGGAGUUGUGUAUGACUGAGGAAAUUGAAAAGAAAAUAACCCAGCUUUUUUGUGUCUUCUGAAAGCCUAGAAAACAAGAAGCAUGGUGGCUCCAGAGCAGGAAGCUGGGAGUAUUAGGAGCACAGUGCUGUAGGCUUGCUUCUCAGAUCACCCAUUAAUAAGCAGAUUCUCCAUGGAGGGUGACAGUAUGCCACGUAUCCCUGAAUCCUCCAUACCUGGCCACUGUCUGGUCCACGGUGGGUAAUUAAACAGUUUAUACUAUGGAUCUUAGAAACUCAAAUGACAUAAGAAAAAUUAGUAAUAUAUUGGCUCACAUAGUUGGAAAGUUCAAGUUCUUCAGGCAUAGCUGUAUGCAAAAACUAAAAUAGUGUCUGCUAUGAUCUGAAUGUGUCCCCCAAAAUCCAUGUAUUGAAAUGUAAUCUGCAUUGUGCUAUUAAGAGGUAGGGCAUCAUGAUGGCCCCGCUCUCAUGAAUGGUUUAGUGCCUUAUCAAAGGGCCAGAGGCAACUAGCUUAGACCUUUUUUACUCUUCUGUUCUUUGGCCAUGAAGGUACAUAGAUUUUGUCUCCUUUUUGCCCUUUUGCCAUGUGAGGAUGCCACCAUGAGGAGACCCCAUGGAUGGACAGCAGGCCCUCACCAAACACCAAAUCUUCUGGCACCUUUGUCUUGGAUAUCCUGGACUUUGGAAGGGUAAGAAAUAAAUUCCUAUUGUUUAGAAAUUAGCCAGGCUCAGGUAUUUUGUUAUAAAAGCAAAAACAGACAAAGGCAGUGUCUUUAGCUUCUCUGUCUCUGUAUCUCUCCGAAUAUUCACUCUUCCUUUCUCUCUGAUGAUUUUACUUUAAGCAGGCUUUCUUCUUUGAGUAGUCAGAUGUUCAUCAAGAAGCUCUACGUUUAUAUUCCUACAAAUUCAAUAACUCCAAUGAUAGUGGAAGGAAGGAAAGAAGGGAGGGAGGAAAAAAGAAAGUAAGAAGGAGAGGGAAAGAAUAAGUCUUUUUUCCAGUAUUUUCAUCAAAGGUCCUCAUAUCAAUCAUCUCAAUAGCCCAGUUUGGAUCCUUGAACAAAUGACUAUAGUCCAAGGUAAGAAAUGCAUUCAUUCGAAGGUAAGUCAAUGGUUAGCCUACCCUCCCCACAGGGGCUGAGACUGGAAAAGGUAGAAUGCGUUCUGUGUGGGCAUAAGCAGCAGACCCCCACCACAGAAAGGGUGGAUGAAGCUAUUCUACAAAGACAACAGCCAGCUAGGAAACCUUGCAAAGUCCAUUUAAUUCAUUGCCACAAACACGUACUGCCUCUUACUAUAUGUUAAGAUUGUGCUAAGGUCUGAGAAGGCAAAGUUGCAAAGCCAUUGACAAUGAUCUUGACAAACCUAACACCUGGUAGAGGACACAGCUAACAAAUCUUUAGGAACCCCUGUGCUGGAAAAAGCAGUGGAAGUAUGUGCAAGGUGCAAGAGCACUUCAUCUGUUGGGAAUUCUGGGAGCCAGUGUGGAACAUAUGCCUCCAAAUUAUUAAACAAGCAAUUGUGGGGGCUGAUGGUGAGGAAACCAGGGUACUUACAUAUGAAUUACGUUGAUCAUUGGCUAAGAGCUGCUGGAGGAUAAGGACGUAAUUCCCCAGGCAUUUCUGGCCUGCCAUAUGUGUGGACACAGGAGGCUUCCAAGGUUCUGAGGAGAGGGGAAGGAAGGAGAAAGGAGGGGAGGGGAAGGGAGGGGAGGGGGAAAUUGGACUAGCAAAUCCCUGAGGACCUAACCAACUCUAAAAUCCUAAGGGGCAAGAUUUGGUCUAGCAAUCUGUAUUUUAUACUUCCACACUGGUUUGUCUCCAUUUUAAAGCAACCUAAAAAUGCGUGGGAAAUGGGUAUGUGGUAGGAGGUGGAGGCAACUGGAAGAGUGAGACGGUUAACGAUUUUGUGGUGGAAAAUCCAGGACUCCACACAAAAAUAUAUGCAUCAUAACAGCCUAACUUGUUUAUAAAGGAUCUGUUUACUUUUAACCCUAAAAUCUUGGACCCUGCACUUGCAGGGUAGAAUAAUUACAGACUAUGGGCCAUGGUAAGAGGACCCUCAAGGCUGUGGUUUCAUGGAACAGAUGAAGGUCACUGAGGCCAGAGGAUGGUUAUGCUACUGACCAAGUGCUCUUCCCUUUGUGCACAACCAGUGUCAGAAACCAAGAGGUGGAUGUAGUAAACCAGGCUUCAUAGAGAAAAUUAAUUUCUUUUCUCCAUCUAAGGGCUCAAUUCCACAUCACAUUAGUACUUUCAAAGCUUCCACCCAACCCAGUGAGGUUGGUUAUAUUUGCUUAUAUUAUUUUUAGCAUUUCCUACCUUUGGAAGUGUUUUACUGGCAGUUAAAUAGACAGGACCCCAAAAUAUUACUGCAACAGGCCAAUGGCUCUAUGUGGCUACAGUUUCAGAGUAGGGCUCCCCAUUCCAACAAAACCUUGUUCCCCAGAAAUCUGCCCAUAAAACAAAAACUCCCUGUGAACCCACACUAGGCCCUGUACAGAGCAUGUGAGUUCCCAGGGAGAGGUUUAUCUUCUUCUUGUUUCCUAAGAUGUGUUCCGAUAAAUUAGAUUUCUCUAGUUUUGUUCCUUCCCUUAUAUAUGAAUUGUGUUGGUCAUUAGCUAAGGGAUGCUGGAGGAUUCUUUUUACAUUCCAUAGAGCACCACUACUGUUGUUUCUAAAGGAAGCUCAAGAAUUGCAUUUAAUGGCAAAGGAUGGAGCAUUUAAAGUGGGAAGUCUGGGGAUGAUUUUAAAAAUCCCAUAAAUAGACAUUAGUGUGUCUUUAUUAGUCAUAUUAGUGUUUCUAUUUUAUCACUCACAUUAGUGUUUCUAUUUUACAGAUUAGGAAACUGAUUACAUCUUCUUUUUAAAAAAUAUUAUACAGAAAAAAUGUUAAAAAUAACAAUUCUAACUACUACUUCUGUGACUAUUGCUACUAUGAUUAAUAUUAACAAUGCAGUUAAACAUAAUUGAAUUAUUAAUUAAUAAUCAAUCAUGACCGGAUGCAGUGGCUCAUGCCUGUAAUCCCAGCACUUUGGGAGGCCAAGGCGGGUAGAUCACCUGAGGUCAGGAGUUCGAGACCACCCUGGCCAACAUAGUGAAACCCUGUCUCUACUAAAAAUACAAAAAUUAGCUGGGCAUGGUGGCACGUGCCUGUAAUCCCAGCGACUCGGGAGGCUGAGGCAGGAGAAUCCCUUGAACCCAGGUGGCAGAGGUUGCAGUGAGCUGAGAUGGUGCCAUUGCACUCCAGCUUGCGUGACAGAGCAAGACUCUAUCUCAAAUAAUAAUAAUAAUAAUCAUCAUUAAUGAGUUAAUUUAAUCAUUAGUUUAUUGGAGCAUUAUUGAACACUCAAAGUUCAAAAUAGUGCUAGACAUUACCGAUAAAAAUAAGAAAAACAAGAAAUUAUAGUCAGCUAUAUCCAAACAGUAUUAGGGCAUAAGACCAUACCUUGGGAACAACUGUAUGCAGUCAGUUUCCUUAAGCAAAAUGCUAUCAUUGCUCAAUACUAUAUACCUAGAAUGAAAAACAGAGGAAAUGAAAACAUGGGAUUCUUAACUAAAUUCUUCCUCAAUUUUGACAUGUGUUUAAAAUGUACAAAUAAAAUUUUUAGAAAGCUUCAGAAUAAAAGUGAUAUGCAUGCAUCAAGCACUUAUGUUAAUAGAACUUCAUAAGAAAGAGGUGCUUUUUAAAAAAGCAGCAGUAGUAAUAAAAGCUUAACUUUUGUUUUUACUUUAAUUAUUGUAAGUACUAAUUUGGGGAUACUGCAUGUUGAUAUGACAAAUAAAGUAUCUAAAAUAAACACAUACACAAUCAUUUUCCAGGCCUUAAAGACAUACUGAUAUUGCUCUGAGUCUUGUUUUAGACACUGUCAUGCCAUUAUUUUUACUACUUAAAAUAUGAAAAUGUAUUAAUCUAAAAGGAGUAAUUUCCUUGACAUGUCAAGAGUUUUUACAAACUAAUAAGAAUAAGGUUAAUAAACAGCACAACAAGAAUAGCAAUAAAACAACCUAAUAUAAAUUAGACUAACAUACAACCCAAGAGAAAAUAGGAAGAAGACAUGAAAACAAUUUAUGAUAAAAUACUUUGGCUUGUAGAAUGUAUGGCAAAAUGUUAACCUCAUUUAAAUCAAGCAAUGAGACACCACCAGUUAAAGUUUGAAAGACAUUGUCAGGGAAUAUGUAUUUCAUUGUCCCCUAGUUUAUAAUAAACAUUGCAGGUAGCUCAAAUGUUGGUCUCAAUGCUCUUCAUAAAGAUUUCUAUUGUUUUUCCUUUUUAUUAUUCUUUUAUCCCCAGGCUGUGAUUUUUCUCACUUUGGCCUUUUCAUAUGUUCCCUCCAGCAACAAUGUUGGCUAUGUCUGCACAGAAUUUCUAAUCCAAAGAGGUGACUCAAAAUAUUUUGGAGGUUCUCUAUGCAGCAUCAGAGAAAAAAAGUCCCAUGCGUCCGAAUCACAAUUUACACCUAAGGGCUCAUUAACAUUAAGAAGCCCUUAGGUGUAAAUGCUGUAUUCCCAAAGUUAUCAACAGUUUUUUAAAAAGAGCUGCCCAGAUGAAAUGGGCAAAGCUAUCAUUUGCUGCCAAACGUCAGUCAACCAGGGAAAAAAAGAGAAGGAGGAAACCAUUUAAAUAAGUGUUAUUCUUAAUUUGGAUACAUUUUUAAUUUUUGAAAAAUAGGGGUUAUCUUAUCUAUAAAAUCAACCAAUACUACCUUCUUCAAUUUGAAUGUAAAGGUUUAAAUGUAAAUAAUACUUGUUAAUAAUCAUAUGCAUGCCUUAUCACAUUUAAUUAUUAAAAUAACCCUAUGACGUAGGUACUAUUAUUAAUUAUUCCCAAUUUACAGAUGAAAAAGCUAAUGUUUACAGAGAUUAAAGAAUUUGCUGCAAAUCACAUGACUAGUAAGUGGCAGAGCUGUGAUUUGAUCCCAGGUAGUCUCUUUUUGAAAUCCAGUUUCUUAAGUACUCUACUGUUCUACCUAUAAACUCUUGCUGUGCCCAGAAAAUAAUUUUGUUUUCCCUCAUACUGAGGAUCAGCAUAAAUUUUCAUAGAGAUAACUUUCCUUUCUCAGAAUCUACUGCCCCUUUGAGUGAGACUGGAAUUUGGUGAUAUUUAGAGAGGGCAAAGGGCACCUUCUCUGUGCUUUCCUUACUUCUAAGUUCUCCCAGUGGACUAGCUCCAGACACUUCUCUUGGUUGGACAUGAUCCAAAAUGUUCUUUUUUGCUUCUGCUUCUAGAAAGCUAAUCAACCCAAAUCAUUAAGCAAAAUCCGCUUUAAAAAUUAGUAAUAGACCAAGUCCCGUGGUAUCAUCAGAGGUUUGGCUAAGACCACAGGGAAAGAGCUAAUGUCUGCCAUAUGCAAAGACUUCUUCACAGAUACUUGCUAUAGGACCUAAGGAUACACAAUAAAAGCAAUCAUGGAGAAAUAAAUUUCAACUCCACUUGAAUGAGCUUAUUAAUAAUUAGAGUUUUCGGCCAGGCGCAGUGGCUCACACCUGAAUCCCAGCACUUUGGGAGGCCAAGGCAGGCAGAUCACGAGGUCAGGAGAUCAAGACCAUCCUGGCUAACAUGGUGAAACCCCGUCUCUACUAAAAAUCCAAAAAAAAAAAAAUUAGCCGGGUGUGGUGGUGGGCACCUGUAGUCCCAGCUACUCCGGAGGCUGAGGCAGG